GUAUAAUUGUGUUCUCGUAGUGUACUACCCAUUACCCAGGAGAAGUUGUGUUACAUGUUCGUGGGGCUGAACUAACCUUUCUUCAUAGAAACACUUUACCUGCAGCUUUUUCUUUGAAUCAGGUGGUUUGAUUGAACCUGAGGACCCGGCAGAGUGGAAAGAGCAUGCAGUGUGAAGUCACUCAGGUCCCAGUGGGAAUCUGGGCCCUUCUGCUCAUUCAUGUGUGAUCCUAGGCCAAUCUCCUAUCUUUUCUGAAACUUAAUUUGCACUUCCCUCCACCUUAGUCAUACGUUCCAUUGGUCCUAUCUUAGAUCUUUUUAUCACCUCUAACUGCCCACCUCUGAAGUUUCAAUUUCAUAAUCCAUAUAUCCCGCUCUGACCACUCCCUUUUAGGCUUUCACCUCACUCUCUUCACUACCUCCACUACAGAGGAUCUUAGACCCCACUGAAGUCUCCAAUCCCUGGCUCAGGUUAGGAUAAGGAUAAACUGCUAUAGCUAAAAGACCCCACUUGCAGUGAUUAAACAAGAGGGGAGUUUUUUUCUCUCUCAGGUCACAGUGCAAGGCAGAUGUUCAGAGUCAGUGAGUGGUUCUGCCACAUACAGCCUGAAGGACCCAAGUGUCUUCCAUCUUGUUUCUUUGCCAUUCACUGUGGUAUUGUCCUAGAUUGAGAUAGGGAGAGUCAUAGGGAGAGUAUGAGUGUGGAGGAGACUCUCCAUUAGGAUCACACAUCACUCCCCUUCAUGUUCCAUUGGAGAGGUCCUCACCAUAUGGCCACUUAACAAGCAAGGGAGCUUGGGAAAUGUAGUGUGCCUGGCCCGCUGUGUCCUGUGUACUCUUGCAUUCAGAAGAAAAGAGAAUGAGUUUUGGUGGACCACUAGCCUUUGCUGGGAUACUGCAUCUUCAUAGCUGUCACCUACCCUCAGAUCCUCUCUUCUUUCCUUAUUCAGCCUAGGUUGCAUAAUCUAACACCAUAAUCACUCCCUUAACUUCCUUGCUGUUCUGCCUCCUUCAUGCAAAUUUGGAAAACUCUCAACUCUGUACAUGUCUGUCUCUGAACAGCUGAAAAUAGCUGCAGAAAAACCACAUCUAUUCUUAAAUUCAUGACCACAGACUUAAAAUGGGCACUAAAGAUCGCUGAGCAAUUCUUUCAACAUUGUAAGACUUUCCUUAUUUGUUUACUUUCCAACUCUCUGAAAUUGCUGUUUUGCACCUUUGCCUCUCACUUCAAAACCCCUCCUUCAGUAGGCCAGGCUUGGUGGCUCAGGCCUAUAAUCUCAGUGCUUUGGGAGGCCAAGGUGGGAGGAUUGCUUGAACCCAGGAAUUCAAGGUUCCAGUGAGCCUCACUGUACUCCAGCCUGGGCAACAGAGCGAUACCCUGUUUAUUAAAAACACAUUAAAAAACUCCUCCAUUAUCUCAGCUGGUUAUCUUGCCAUUUGGCAGAAAUAGAAUCAGGUGGGAACUCCCCUUUCUUUACCAUGUUAGCUAUGACUUGCAUCUGUACUUGUUCCCUGCCUUACCUCCUAUUGCAGCAAAUGGAAUAAUCCCUGUUCUCUAAAAGGCAAGCCCCUCUACCUGUCCACUGGAUCCUGUCUCCUUGUGGCUUUUCAAAAGACCCUGGUCUUUGUUUCUGCAAUUAUUUUAUCUAUCUUGCAUCAUAUUUCUCUUGGUAAAUCAUUUUUGUUGCUAGAAGAUCUUUGGUCUUUAAAAAGUCCUGCUUUGACCCCUUAUUCUCCUUUGUUACUGCUCAUUUCUCUGCUACCCUUCAUAGCAAAACUCAAAAGAGUUGUCUAAAUUAAAUGAUUUCACUUCCCUGUGGCCCAUUUCCUCAACCCACUCCAAAGAAGUCUCUGUCCCCACCCCUCCUCUGAAACUGCAGUUGUCCAGGUAACCAGUGAUUUCAUGUUGCCAAUACAGUGGUCGCCUCUAGUCCUUCUUUUCCUCAACCUCCCAAUAUUGGACGUAGUUGAUUUGUCUCUGUACCAAGAAAUGCUUGGUUCUCUUGUUUCUAGGACAGUAUAUGGUUUUUUACCUGCCUUACUGAUUGUUGCUUCUUGGUCCCCUUUGUUGGCUUCCCCUUGUUUGCAUCUAUUAAGUGGCUUUCAGCUGCAAAAACAGAAAACCCAAAAUUUCUGGCUUAAACAAUAAGGAAAUUUAUUGUCUCACAGAAUUGGAAAUCCAGAUGUAGAGUGAAUUUCAGGGUUGUAUGCUCCAGGUCAGCAGUCCCCAACAUUUUUGGCACAAGGAACUGGUUUUAUGGAAGACAAUUUUUCCACAGGUUGGGCACAGGGGAGUGGUUUGGGAUGAUUCAAGUGCAUUACAUUUAUUGUGCACCAUAUUUCUAUUAUUAUUCUACUGUAAUAUAUAAUGAAAUAAUUAUACAGCUCACCAUAAUGCAGAAUCAGUGGGAGCCCUGAGCUUGUUUUCCUGCAACUAGACACUCCCAUCUGGGGGUGUUGGGAAACGGUGACAGAUCAUCAGGCAUUAGAUUCUCAUAAGGAGCACGCAUCCUAGAUCCCUCACAUGCACAGUUCACAAUAGGGUUCGUGCUCUUAUGAGAAUCCAGUGCCACCGCUAAUCUGACGGGAGUUGGAGCUCGGGUGGUAACGCAAGCAGCUGUAACUAGAGAUGAAGCUUUGCUCGCUUGCACACCACUCACCUCCUGCUGUGCGGCCUGGUUCCUAACAGUCCGUGGACAGGUAUUGGUCCAUGGCCCAGGGAUCAGGGACCCCUGCUCUAGGUAAUCAGCCAUGUCAUCUAUGGCCAAGUUCUUUCCUCCUAUUCCCUCCAUCCAGAAAAUCAGCUUCAUCCUAAGUCGGAUUCUUUCUGAGUAUGCUCAUAGGGCACUGGAUAGUGGAAAUGUGGGAUACAUGUUUCUUCACUGACAUCCUCAAAAAAGAAAUGCUCCCAGAUAUCUUUACCUCAUUGUACCAUGGACCUGAAUUAAGACACAUGACAUUCCAUGCAGACUAGUUUUGGCCUAGGAUUCUGAUCACUAGCAAAGAGUAUGGGACUAUCGUGAUUGGUUUAGACUGCUCAGGGGACAUCCCUAGAGUGAAGUCGGAUGUGUGGGAGAUGGACAGAACAGAGGUGGAUGGAAAAAAGGAAAUUGAGAAUAAUUCCUAAGUUUUCGGGUCAAAUAAAUGGAUAGAUAUUGAAGCUAUAUGAGAAGUCUUAGAGAAAAGACAGGUUGGUGGGGUGGGUGGUGGGUGUAAAUCAGUGUUGUUUUAGACAUGCUAGUUUUGAAAUGCCUAUUAGAUGUCCAAGUGAGGACGUUUUAAGUCAUAGGAUGCAUGAAUUUGGAGCUCAAGAAAGGAGUCAGGUCUGGAUUUAUAAUGUUAAAAGACAUCAGCAUAUAGCUAGAAUUUAAAACCAUGGGAAUGGACUAUAUAGAGUAAAAGAGGUGAGGAUCCAAGGCACUGGGUCACUCCAACAGCUGAAGGAGAGCAGAGGGGAAGCACUCACUUCAUUGAGUACUUGGCUCAUAUUAAGUUAUCAAUGCCUUUGUUUUUUUGUAUAUUAGUUUUAUUCCUAAAGGAUUUAAGGCAGUUCUUAGUCAAUUCCAGUGUCUUCUCUCCACAAAUGUCUGAUGGAUCUCAAGAAUCUGGAGAAACAAGUUCUUUGGAACCAAAAUUAUAAGAAAAGCAGGGACAGACUUUCAGAUCCAGAUUCUUCCCUGAACCUCUCUCUUCCCAUCCCUGCUUGGCAGGGAGCUGACAUGUCAGCUGUCAGUGCCAAGCUGCUCUGGACCUUGAGAGAAGGGCUCCAUUUAAGGAUAGCAAAACCUCUUUCAUUUGGAGCCCUUGCAGAGAAGCACAGUAUAAAUGAGUGAAAAACCUAAAUUAGAUAAUUUUUAAAAGAAUGGUAGCUUCAUUAUUUUCAAGUACACAGAGUAACUUAAACUCAGUCAUGAAGUGUUCCUUUGUAGAAGCCCUUAGGGACUUUCCUUAAUGAGUAGAUUAUAAUUAUUGGUAAUCAGCAUAACAGUUCUCUGUAAUGCAUGCUUUGAAAGCAAUUGAGCAUAUUAAGUGAUUUUGAUGUUCCACAGGGCAAAUUUGUUUACAGCAUUUAUCUGCUCAGUAUAUACCCUUUAUAGCUAUAACCCUCUGUUUGAAAGAAAAACUUCUGAAGUCUCUCUUCAUCAGGCAAUGUUUGAUUACCAGUGUAGGAGGCAGGGAGAUACUUAGUAGGACUUGGAUUCUUUAUCCGUGGUGCCCGAUAGAAUUAUGGGAAUAACUUUCAUGUGAAGCCUGGUGCAAACCCUGGCUCUGUCACCUAUGAUGUACCCCUGGGCUUGAUGAUAAGAAUUUUAGUGAGUCUGUUUCUCCUCUGUAAAAUGGGGAUAAUUUCUACUUUUCAGGGUUGAUGUGAGCACUAAAUGAGUACUAAUUAAAGCUCUUGAUAUAAUAAGUGCUCAGUAAAUGCACCCUGCCUUCUCCCUUCUCUGUAAAUCUCUUGGCCUGUGUGGGAGGGUCUCCUGCCUCUUUAGUGUCACAGACUGCUCCCAGCCCAGGUUGUACCUCUUCAUUUCCUAGUGACCAACUGACAUAAGCUUGCCGCUUCUCUAGGCCUAACCCCUGCCCACCCAUGGCAGUUGAGGUGGUGCCAUUCUCUUGCCAUGCAUACCUAAGGCUGAGGAGACCAGAACACCUCUAACCUGCUUUGCCACCAAACACAUUGGUUAAAGGGAGCUUUGUUUGCUGAAGGUUUGUUAUUGGUGUGUUGUUGAUGGCUAACAUUUAUUAAAAGCUUACUUGCUAUAGGCCAGAUGCUAUGCCAAGCACCUUAUAUAGGAAAGAUUUGCAUUUCAUGAAUUUUGAGAUGCAGUUUUUGAAACUGGAGUGUAUCUUAAAGUUGGUGUCUUCUCAGUGUCAGCAAGGCAGCAGUUGCAACAUUGCUGUUCUCAUCGCCUGUGGAUGUGCAAACUGGGCGCACUCUUCCCAUUGUCAUCAUUUUUGUUGAGUAAUGUGCAUUGUUGAUAACCACAUGUGUUCAAUGUAAGUGCUUUUUAAGAUGCCUUCAAAAGAUUAUACUGUGAUUUGGUAUUAUAAUAAAAGGUGGUUUUGUACUCAGAAAGGCAGAGCAGUGGGGUUAAUUUGAUAUUAGUAAAGCACAGAUUUGCCAUCAGAGGAAUGAACAUGAUUUUUUACAAAGCAGGAGGUGUUUUUUGGAACUAAGAAAGAAAGAUAUCCACUAGUAAAUGAAGUUUUACUGACAUGCUGAGAUUCAUGCGAAAGGAUUGCCUAUCAAACAGCAAACAAGGCGCAACUAAAGGAGAAAUUGACCCAUCCUUUGGAAUAAAUGGAAGAAGUUUUAAUGUAGUGAGAGGCCUAGUGGAACCAAUUCAUGCAGAGCACAGGACUAAUCAUUGAGAUGUGAAUCGAUUUGUUAGAUGCUUCCUGCUCACUUUGAACAGGAGCUGAUUAAUUUCCAGGGACAUGUGAUUCAAUAUAGAAAAAAGUGAAACUAGAGGUUAAGUCAAAUAAAAAACAAAAUCUGAAAAAGGCCAAAAGCGCUUUUUGGAUACGUAUAUCUUAAAGGUACUGGCAUUUGUCUUAAUCAACUGUGGGAAGGCACACGGGAAAUGACUGUCGUGAAGAAAGAAAUGUGUUAUAUGCAUAGGUCCCUAGAAAUUGAAGGCGUGGUAUGCAUGCAGGGCCAUGGGUAAGCACCUGGAUUGGUCAGGAGGCAGAGGGAACAGGCAAAAACAUGGAUAAGAGCCUGUGUUGUGGUUUCUGCAGAAAUUAAUGUGCCAGACAGCAGGUAAGCAGGUUUGGGAUUGACUAAUUUGAAUUUUGAUGGGCCCUGGGGUCUAGGUGCUAUCCCUAGUUGUCUGGUACCUGGCCCUGGGGUGAUUAGGGCUGAGUGUGAGAGCCCUAUAAAAAGGUGCUUGGCAGUGUGGGCUCUGGGUUGGUUGGUUUGCAUAUGAAAGACAUGUUCUCAGGCAAGUUGUUUGCUAUCUCCAGGAAUUAGCAAACUCUGGGAGGGGCAGUCCAGGGUCAGUAUGGCCCCAAGAUGUCAAGGCAUCAGAAAACAAAAGACAUGGUUGAUAUAAUAUAAAAAUGAUUCCAAGCAAUAAGCAUUGUCAUGGUUUAAUUUGUUCUUAGAGUGACAGAUUGUGGUAGUCAACCUCUAAGAUGGCCUACAGUGACCCUACCUUCUAUAUUCAUGCCCUCCCACAUCGUAUCAUGGUUGGUUGGCAUGACCAAUAAAACACAGCAGAAGUGAUGAUGUGCCACUUUCAAGGCUUAUUUAUAAAAGACAUUUCAAGGCUAGGCUUCUGCACCCUGCCCGCACCCCUGGAAUCAUUCAGCCGCCAUAUCACAAGAACACACAGGCGAGCUCCUGGAGAGACCUCCUUGCUGAGGAACUGAGGCUUCCUGCCAAUAGCCAUGUGAAUGAAAUAUCUCGGAAUCCAGUCCUCCCGCUUCAUUCAAGCCUAUAUGACAGCAACCUCAUGAGAAACUCUGAGCCAGAACUGCCCAGCUAAGCCACUCCCAGAUUCUUGAUUCUCAGAAAUUGUGUAAGAUAAUAAAUGAUUUUUUUUUUUUUUUUUUUUUUUUUUUUGAGACAGGGUCUCCUUCUGUUGCUCAGCCUGGAGUGCGGUGGCAUGAUCAUGGCUCACUGUAGACCUUCUGGGUUCAAACGAUCCUCCCAUCUCAGCCUCCUGAGUGGUUGGGACCACAGAAAGAAAGAGGUGCCUUGUCCUCUCUCUCAACUGUCCCACCAUCAGUAACGGAACCAGGAAACCAGUCUUUGAGUAUGGAGUUAGCAAGAAAGCUGAGUGUUGGGCGGCUUUUUUUGUGGAAGCUCACUGCUUAUCCAUGUAAUGUUUCAUUAAUUCUUUGAUGCUGAAGUUUCACCUCCUGCAGGGAGCAUUUGCAGCACCCCAGGUGAGUUGUCAGCAGUCGCUGCCUGGCAGUAGCACGCAUUAACUCUAGUGAGCAGAGGUGGAGUGCAAAGGCUCCCCACACUGCUGCACCUUGAGCUGCUCUUCCUGGCCCAGCCUGUUCUGCUUCCUGGGACUCCAGAUCUGGUCUCCAAGUACUGUUUCUCUUCUAAGUGUAGUCAUUAACUUCCCAGAGUGAGAAGAAGAGACUAAAAAAAAAAGAGAGAGAGACUGUCUCUUAGUUUUAAUUAAUUGUUGAAAAAAUAGAGAGGGGCCCCAUAUUUCUACUGAAAGAAAGGAGAAGUUGGGGAAUGGGAAUAUUCUGAACAGGAAUGAAAAAGUGAAUGAAAAGUAAUCUUUAGAUUCAGUCUCUUUGCCCUAGUCUUUAAAAGUUUCUGUUGGGGGUUACAAAGUUUGAAAUCUGUCUUAAGGAGGGAUGUAUUACUCAAAAUAAAUUGCCUCUGUCAUUCAGUGUGAUAUGAUGGACUGUGGAGACUUGGUAGGGGCAGGAUGAGAGGAGGUUAGGGAUAAAACUCUACAUAUUGUGUACAGUGUAUACUACUCCAGUGAUAGAUGCACUAAAAUCUCAGCCUUCACCACUAGUUCAUGCAUGUAACCCAAACCACUGCUACCCCAAAAGCUGCUGAAAUAAAAAGCAACAACAACAAAAACAAA